rnacentral:rRNA from 1 species
AGAGUUUGAUCCUGGCUCAGAACGAACGCUGGCGGCGUGGAUAAGACAUGCAAGUCGAGCGAGAUUUUUCGUUGUAGCAAUACGAUGGAAAGUCUAGCGGCGAACGGGUGCUUAACGCGUGGGCAACCUGCCAUGAAGUGGGGGAUAGCUCGCCGAAAGGCGAAUUAAUACCGCAUGUGAUUAGAGAGGACAUCCUUUCGAAAUUAAAGUCGGGGCAACCUGACGCUUCUUGUGGGGCCCGCGGCCUAUCAGCUAGUUGGUGAGGUAACGGCUCACCAAGGCUUUGACGGGUAGCUGGUCUGAGAGGACGACCAGCCACACUGGGACUGAGACACGGCCCAGACACCUACGGGUGGCAGCAGUCGAGAAUUUUUGACAAUGGGGGAAACCCUGAUCGAGCGACGCCGCGUGGAGGAUGAAGGUCUUCGGAUUGUAAACUCCUGUCAUUGGGGAACAAGGUGCAUACGUUAACUGCGUGUGCAUUGAUAGUACCCGAAGAGGAAGAGACGGCUAACUCUGUGCCAGCAGCCGCGGUAAUACAGAGGUCUCAAGCGUUGUUCGGAUUCAUUGGGCGUAAAGGGUGCGUAGGCGGCGCGGUAAGUCGGGUGUGAAAUCUCGGAGCUUAACUCCGAAACUGCAUUCGAUACUGCCGUGCUUGAGGACUGGAGAGGAGACUGGAAUUUACGGUGUAGCGGUGAAAUGCGUAGAUAUCGUAAGGAAGACCAGUGGCGAAGGCGGGUCUCUGGACAGUUCCUGACGCUGAGGCACGAAGGUCAGGGGAGCAAACGGGAUUAGAUACCCUAGUAGUCC